rnacentral:rRNA from 1 species
GAUGAACGCUAGCUACAGGCUUAACACAUGCAAGUCGAGGGACCGGCGCACGGGUGAGUAACACGUAUCCAACCUGCCCUUUACUCGGGGAUAGCCUUUCGAAAGAAAGAUUAAUACCUGAUAUAAAGGAUGGGGAUGCGUUCCAUUAGUUUGUUGGUGAGGUAACGGCCCACCAAGCCUUCGAUGGAUAGGGGUUCUGAGAGGAAGGUCCCCCACAUUGGAACUGAGACCCGGUCCAAACUCCGACGGGAGGCAGCAGUGAGGAAUAUUGGUCAAUGGGCGUUAGCCUGAACCAGCCAAGUAGCGGGAAGAAGGAAGGCUUAUGGGUCGUAAACUUCUUUUAUAUAAGAAUAUGUAUUAUAUGAAUAAGGAUCGGCUAACUCCGUGCCAGCAGCCGCGGUAAUUC